rnacentral:rRNA from 1 species
UACAGAGGUUGCAAGCGUUAAUCGGAUUUACUGGGCGUAAAGGGUGUGUAGGUGGUUUGGAAAGUCGGUUGUGAAAUCCCCGGGCUUAACCUGGGAAUUGCUUCCGAUACUUCCAGACUAGAGUACGGUAGAGGGCGGUGGAAUUUCCGGUGUAGCGGUGAAAUGCGUAGAUAUCGGAAGGAACACCAAUGGCGAAGGCAGCCGCCUGGGCCUGUACUGACACUGAGACACGAAAGCGUGGGGAUCAAACAGG